rnacentral:rRNA from 1 species
UACGAAGGGGGCUAGCGUUGCUCGGAAUUACUGGGCGUAAAGCGCACGUAGGCGGUCUUUUAAGUCGGGGGUGAAAUCCUGGAGCUCAACUCCAGAACUGCCUUCGAUACUGGAAGACUUGAGUCCGGGAGAGGUGAGUGGGAACUGCGAGUGUAGAGGUGAAAAUUCGUAGAUAUUCGCAAGAACACCAGUGGCGAAGGCGGACUCACUGG